rnacentral:rRNA from 1 species
UACGAAGGGGGCUAGCGUUGUUCGGAAUUACUGGGCGUAAAGCGCGCGUAGGCGGUGAUCUUUGUCAGAGGUGAAAGCCCGGGGCUCAACCCCGGAAUUGCCCUUUGAAACGGGAUCGCUUGAGUCCGAGAGAGGAUGGCGGAAUUCCUAGUGUAGAGGUGAAAUUCGUAGAUAUUAGGAAGAACACCGGUGGCGAAGGCGGCCAUCUGGCUCGGUACUGACGCUCAGGCGCGAAAGCGUGGGGAGCAAACAGG